rnacentral:rRNA from 1 species
CCUACGGGUGGCAGCAGUGGGGGAUAUUGCACAAUGGGGGAAACCCUGAUGCAGCGACGCCGCGUGUGGGAAGACGGUCCUCUGGAUUGUAAACCACUGUCCCCAGGGACGAAGAUGACGGUACCUGGGGAGGAAGCUCCGGCAAACUACGUACCAGCAGCCGCGGUAAUACGUAGGGAGCGAGCGUUGUCCGGAAUUACUGGGUGAAAGGGGAGCGUAGGCGGGACUGCAAGUUGGGUGUCAAAUCUACCGGCUCAACCGGUAGCCGCACUCAAAACUGCAGUUCUUGAGUGAAGUAGAGGCAGGCGGAAUUCCUAGUGUAGCGGUGAAAUGCGUAGAUAUUAGGAGGAACACCAGUGGCGAAGGCGACCUGCUGGGCUUUUACUGACGCUGAGGCUCGAAAGUGUGGGGAGCAAACAGGAUUAGAUACCCUUGUAGUC